CGAUGAUAACAAUAAUAAAGAUCGCAUGUACAUUAAACCUUGAAAUAUCACUCGUACCCAAUCCAAUGGUAGACCCAAAAUACCAGACAUCCAACAUCAAGUACCUGACAAUAACAAGGCCAGAGUUCACAAAAAUUGUUGGGGACUUUGGCCAGGUAUUAUCCUUGAGCCGUCGAACACUUGUUUGUUGAUAAGUGGAUGCCACCGCGUGGAGACCCAGAUCAUCAGAGCCGUGCUGUUGAUCACGUUGUAUUCCAUUGGACGUCAAUUGGAAAAAUUACAGACCUUAUCAGUUGGUAGAGGAACGCGUGAUGCCAAUUGUCCCUUAGAGGGUAAAUGUAUUCAAUUUAUGAUGCGUCAUAGCAUAUAUGAUAUUGUUAUUAGAGCGUGCCCAAGAUAAGGUAACCUCCUAAUCAUUAAAAUCGAAGGAAAAACCUUAAUCCCCUUUUAGAUUAAAGCUAAUUACAAAGUCUAGAGCCCUAAUAUUAGGUAUAUUAAGUAUUUUUCAUUAUCUCAUAUUAAAAUAAAAAUCAAUC